GAUGAAGAACGCAGCGAAAUGCGAUAAGUAAUGUGGAUUGCAGAAUUCAGUGAAUCAUCGAAUCUUUGAACGCAACUUGCGCUCUCUGGUAUUCCGGAGAGCAUGCCUGUUUGAGUAUCAUGAAAUCUCAACCAUUAGGGUUUCUUAAUGGCUUGGAAUUGGGUGUUACCAGUCGCCUGGCUCGCCUUAAAAGAGUUAGCGUGUUUAACUUGUCUAUCUGGCGUAAUAAGUUUCGCUGGUGUCGGCUUGAGAAGUACGCUUCUAAUCGUCUUCGGACAAUUCUUGAACUCUGGUCUCAAAUCAGGUAGGGCUACCCGCUGAACUUAAGCAUAUCAAUAAGCGGAGGA
rnacentral:misc_RNA from 1 species